GUAAGGUGCUUUUUAAUUUAAUGAGCUUGUAGUACAAUACUUCUGUAAUGGUAACAUGGCUUUGAAUACUUUUCAGUUAUAUUUUAUAGUUAAUAGAAUCCUUCAUUGUAGUAAUAACUUUUUUAAGCCAUUACAGUUUCACUUUAUCAAUUAUUGUUAAAUGAAGUAGGUUAAUAAUCUGAAUCACAUUGUGUUUGUCCUCGUGCGUGUAUACAGUAGGCUAACCAAUACUAAGACCUUUUUAUAUAUCUUUUCAUCUGUGUUUGCUUAUUUAUAUAGGAUAUCUCUUGAUCUUUUAAUCAUGCAUGCAUGCAUGCAUCAUAAUAUAUUG
rnacentral:misc_RNA from 1 species